CAUUAACCUUUCCAAAUAAAGAAAUGAAGAUUCACAUACCCAAGUGGCUCAGAAAAUGAACUCUUCUCUGGGACUAGUGAUGCUACUCCUAUUAGUAUUUGGAGAAAGCAAUGAAGACUCCGUGACUCAGUCAGAAGGUCAAGUGACACUCUCUGAAGGGACUCCUCUGACUGUGAACUGUUCCUAUGAAACCCAACAGUACCCAGCCCUGUUCUGGUACGUGCAGUAUCCCAGAGAAGGUCCACAGCUCCUAUUCAGAGUCUCGAAGGCCAAUGAGAAGGGAAGCAGCAGAGGUUUUGAAGCUACAUAUGAUAGAGGAUCCAGUUCUUUCCACUUGCAGAAAGCCUCGGUCCAAGAGUCAGACUCUGCUGUGUACUACUGUGCUCUGAGUGGCACAGUGUCAGAAACCACAGGGGGACCUGAGCACAAACUCUGAGAAGCAGAUCAUGCCUGCUGAG